ACAAAAUGCACUUAGUCAAGUGGUCUUCCAUUUGUAAAGCAAAAUCAAAAGGAGGACUAGGCGUUCGCUCUCUUUCUUUGCCGAAUAAGGCCCUUUUUUGCAAAUGGUCUUGGGGCUUCUCUAGUGAAAGUGAUUCGUUGUGGAAGAAAAUCAUAAAGGGAAAGUUUGGGGAGGAAGAAGGGGGUUGGAGGUUGGGAGUGGUGAUAGAGCUCUAUGGGGUUGGGGUUUGGAAAGAGAUUGGGAAGUAGUGGGAUUUUUUUAAUACAAAGAUUUCCUUUGCAGUGGGUAAUGGGAGUAGAGUGAAGUUUUGGAAAGACAAGUGGUGUGGUGAGAAACCCUUAUGUGAGACUUUUUUGUCCUUGUUUGCCCUUUUUGAUUUGAAGGAGGCAUGGGUAGUUGAUUCUUAGGGGCCAAGUGAGGAAAGAGGAAAUUGAAACUUUCAUUUUGUUAGGAGUCUGAAUGAUUGGGAGUUGGGUGUCAUGGAGUGGUUCCUUUCUAAGCCCCAAGGACAGACAGUGAAGAGGGAGGAGGAUAGAGUAGUGUGGAAGGAAGAUAACAAAGGGGUCUUCUCUGUAAGAGGGCUUUACUUUUUGUUGGAAACAAAUUAUACCAUCCCUUUCCUUUUAAAAAUAAUUUGGAACUCGUAGAUUCCUUUGAAGGAGAGUUUCUUUACGUGGGAGGCUUGUUGGGGAAAGCUUUUGACGUUGGGUCAACUUCAAAGAGGAGGGUGGACAUUGGCUAAUAGGUGUGCAUUGUGUAAAGAGGAGUUAGAGUCCAUUGAUCAUAUCCUUCUUCAUUGUGAUAAGACGAGAAUUUUAUGAGAGCUAGUGUUCUCCGUUUUUGGUAUUCGAUGGGUUUUAUCUGAGUUGAUAAGGGAGACUCUCCUAGAGUGACAUGACUCUUUAGUAGAUAGAAGACGUAUUAUGCCUUGGAGAGCCGCUCCUUGUAUUUUCUAGAUGAUUUGGAAGGAAAGAAAUGAGUGAUUUUUUUGAAUGUGAGGAAUUGUCUUAUCAAAAGCUAAAAAUUCUUUAUGUAGGUAGGGUGUAUAUAGGCGGUGGGUAGACGCAUAUCGUUGAUUUCAUAGAUUGGUUGGAGCUUGGAUGAGGUAGGGGGUAUUUUUUUGUAUGUUCCCUCUCUCCUGUUUUUUUUGUCAAGUGCACUUUGUAUAUGUCCUAUAUACUCUUGUGCGCUUUAAGCGCUUUUUAAUACAUUCUCUUACUUAUGAAAAGAAAAAAGGAAAAAAAAAAAAAAAACAAAAAACCAUACAUUUUUCAUCUAAGUUAUGAUACUGUUAAAUGAUAUCUUAGAAAAUGCUAGUGAUGAAAUAGAUAAUCUGUAGUUUGUAUUCACAUGAUUUUUUUUUUUUGGUGGUAAAGAUGUUUCAAUAGUUUGAUACUAUUGUGUAGUUCAAAAGGAGUCUAAUGAUAUCCUCUUAUGCCUUUUGGGAGAGGUAAUCUGUUAAUAAUAAUUGAAAUGUUUUUCAUAUGGGGAGUAGUAACUGUCAGUAUUGAUAGCUAUGAAACAGGUCAAGCUUAAGUGACUACAUCCAUUCAACUGUGUGUAUUAAAUUCUCAACUAUAAAGCAGAUGCUAUAGCUUAAACAAGUUUAUAUAGAGAAUAUUACCUUGGUUUAACCUGUUUUCAUAAACUACUUUCUAGGUAAACGGUCAACACUUGUUUACAUAGAUUGGAGAAAAACCUGUUUUGGAAAAGCCAGUGGUAAUUGGUUGUGAUAGCAUCCAUUUGCACCAUGCCCUACAUAUUAAGGAGGUCACUGGGAACCAUGCUGAGUGGAAUAUCUAUGAAGUUACCAUUUAGAUAAAAUGAGGAAGUAUGAAUUAUUUUCUUCUGGGCAAUGAGGUCAGAAGAAAAGCAAGAGAAGAAUAAAUUACAGUAAUCAAAAGAUAUAGGAAUAGAGAGAAAUGAUUGGAAGCAAUGCUCUAAUUCAACUUUCAUUGGUCAAAGUUAUGAUAAUCUAAAGGCAUCCUUCUAUGCCUAUGCUUUGGCUCUUUGGUAGCCUCUAAAUGAAUUUCAUUAACCAUAAUAGUUAGUGAGGGAAAAAAAUUAAGGAAUAGCAUUCAUGAAUUUUUCAAAUCACUAUUAAAAGAAAAUUACAAUCUACUAAGUGCUAGUAUUUAUGCACAGAUAAAGCUCUUAUUUCUUAAUCAGAUAAUGGGUGAGAUUUUGGUUGAUUAUUUAUUGAGCUCUUUGAAAGAUGUCAUUUAUGUUGACUAAUUGCUUGUUGAAAUCCUGUUACUCUCACACGUACUAACAUGACACCUGGUAGGUUGCCACACUUCCAUGGUAACUUAUUCUGCUUUGCUGCAUUUAUUUCUAGAAGAGCACCAAAAAAAUCACCAAAUUAAUAAUAUGGAAACAUCACAGAUUCCUAUAAAAAUUGCUUCAUUUAAACUCAACAUGAUUUUUUCCCAGAUUUUUUUUACCAGAUACUUCUAAGUGGGGUGAUGAAUGAAUAAAUGGUCCACCUAUUUUCAGUCAACCAUGCAUAGUCUGGCAAAGGUAAAUAUUUGUAGGGGUAUGACUUGCUGGGAUUUAACAGUAGUCUUUUAUAAGUACACACAUUCCAUACAAAGAAGGAAAAUUUGGAUAAGACUGCAGCUUUCCAGGUGACCUUUUUCAGGAAAGUGGCUCCUCCAACAUUCACCCUGUGUAAGAAGGAUUUAAUUGAAAUCCACACUUGCAGAAUCUCCACCAUUGCCUAUCUUUCUUCAAAAGACUUGGACUAAGACUUAUGGUUGUACCACCAUCUUACUCUCCAAAGAAUAAAUAAUCUAUAGUUCCAUAUUUUCUUGCUAGAUAUUUGGUGUUUUGGCUUGGGGUUGGGAUCACAGUAAAGCACUAAGAAACUUUUGUCAUUAACCAGAAAAUUCUGUUAGUGCCUUAAGAAGUCAACUGAAGAGGAAUGCCUUCAUAUGUCAGAUGUCUCAAAACUUGACUUGCUGCCACUCCUGACAGUGAAUCCCCAUGUAAAUGCAACUUUAACUUUGCAAUACAGGUUUAGAAAGCAGCAAAUGGGCUAUUAGUUUCUAGAGUAUCCAAAUUGUUAUGGUUCAAUCUCACUUUUGCCAUACUCUUAUCUUGUCCACCCAACCCCACUGAAUCCAGAUAUCAAUUUUACAACAUGUGUUAUCUUCUUUUUUAUUUUUUAUUGUUCAAACAUGUUUACCUUUUGUACUGUAUGGACUGAUUAGAAUAUCACUGGAGAUGGUCUUAGUGAGGUUGUGUGGCUUGUGAUCUAUUCUUAUCAUUAUGCGUUAGAUCAGUCAUUUAUAUUUAAUCUGGUAUCUUGUUAUUAUGGAAUAAGGAUAUUUUUCAUCUGAACAAUGUGGAGUGAUUAGUUUUGCUAGCAACUCUGAUUUAGUUAAUGGAUGAUUCAACUUUCCUUUUUUUUUUUUUUGAUAGGUUAGAUGAUACAACUUCUCUUUGCUUCUAAUUUGUAUUAUUUAUAUACUUAC
rnacentral:lncRNA from 1 species